rnacentral:rRNA from 1 species
AGAGUUUGAUCCUGGCUCAGAGCGAACGCUGGCGGCAGGCCUAAUACAUGCAAGUCGAGCGGUCCCUUCGGGGGCAGCGGCGGACGGGUGAGUAACGCGUGGGAACGUGCCCUUUGGUACGGAACAACUGAGGGAAACUUCAGCUAAUACCGUAUGUGCCCUUCGGGGGAAAGAUUUAUCGCCAUUGGAGCGGCCCGCGUUAGAUUAGCUAGUUGGUGGGGUAAUGGCCUACCAAGGCGACGAUCUAUAGCUGGUCUGAGAGGAUGAUCAGCCACACUGGGACUGAGACACGGCCCAGACUCCUACGGGAGGCAGCAGUAGGGAAUCUUGCGCAAUGGGCGAAAGCCUGACGCAGCCACGCCGCGUGAAUGAUGAAGGUCUUAGGAUUGUAAAAUUCUUUCACCGGGGACGAUAAUGACGGUACCCGGAGAAGAAGCCCCGGCUAACUUCGUGCCAGCAGCCGCGGUAAUACGAAGGGGGCUAGCGUUGCUCGGAAUUACUGGGCGUAAAGGGCGCGUAGGCGGACAGUUUAGUCAGAGGUGAAAGCCCAGGGCUCAACCUUGGAAUUGCCUUUGAUACUGGCUGUCUUGAGUACGGGAGAGGUGUGUGGAACUCCGAGUGUAGAGGUGAAAUUCGUAGAUAUUCGGAAGAACACCGGUGGCGAAGGCGACACACUGGCCCGUUACUGACGCUGAGGCGCGAAAGCGUGGGGAGCAAACAGGAUUAGAUACCCUAGUAGUCC